rnacentral:rRNA from 1 species
UCGAGAAUCUUCGGCAAUGAGCGAAAGCUUGACCGAGCGACGCCGUGUGCGGGAUGAAGGCCUUCGGGGUUGUAAACCGCUGUCGUAGGGGAGGAAGGCUCCGUGAAGAACGGGGUUUUGACCUAUCCUAGGAGGAAGGACGGGCUAAGUACGUGCCAGCAGCCGCGGUAAUACGUACCGUCCUAACGUUAUUCGGAAUUACUGGGCUUAAAGGGUACGUAGGCGGCGCUGUCAGUCGGGUGUGAAAUCCCUCGGCUCAACCGAGGAACUGCGCCCGAUACUGCAGUGCUUGAGGGAGACAGAGGUAAGCGGAACUGAUGGUGGAGCGGUGAAAUGCGUUGAUAUCAUCAGGAACACCAGUGGCGAAAGCGGCUUACUGGGUCUCUUCUGACGCUGAGGUACGAAAGCUAGGGGAGCGAAGGGGAUUAGAUACCCCCGUAGUCCUAGCUGUAAACGUUGAGCACUUGAUC